rnacentral:rRNA from 1 species
UUUUUAUCACAAAAAGUCGUGCACGCCGGAGCGUGUCCUCUCGCAUAAAAUCCAUCUCACCCUUUUGUGCACCACCGCGUGGGCACCCUUUGGGAUCGAACCGAUCCAGGAGGGCGCUUGCGUUUUCACACAAACCCCCUUAUAAAAGUGUAGAAUGACCCCAUUUUUGCGAUAACNCNNAAUCAAUACAACUUUCAACAACGGAUCUCUUGGCUCUCGCAUCGAUGAAGAACGCAGCGAAAUGCGAUACGUAAUGUGAAUUGCAGAAUUCAGUGAAUCAUCGAAUCUUUGAACGCACCUUGCGCCCCUUGGUAUUCCGAGGGGCACACCCGUUUGAGUGUCGUGAAAAUCUCAACCUCCUCGGUUUCUUCUGGACGCCGAAGGAGGCUUGGACUUUGGAGGCCUUUGCUGGCGUCUCUCGCCAGCUCCUCUCAAAUGAAUUAGCGGGGUCCUCUUUGCCGAUCCUCGACGUGUGAUAAGAUGUUUCCAUGUCUUGGUUUCUGGCUCUGUCGCCUUUGGGACCCGCUUCUAACCGUCUCAAGUCGAGACAACGUUUGAGCGUGUCUCCCUUCUCGGGAAACACCCUCGAGCCCACGAACCCUG